rnacentral:lncRNA from 1 species
GGCUCUUCCGUAGAGUUUGCAGCCAGGGGCCGGCCCCGCUUGCAUUUCGCUUACCCGCCUCCAUAAACUGCUUUGGCUCCUGGUCUCGCAUCUCCCUGUGGCUCCCCGCAGAUUCCGCCCGGCCUUCCCUUCCUCCCGCAGCCACGCCCCGGCUUGGCUUCCAGCAGCCGUGGCAGCGCUGGCGUUUAGCCGUUGCCCAGAGACGACGCCCGAGAGGCGGUUUAGCUGACCACCUGGCGGGCAGCCGGCGCUCCUCUCCAGGAAGCAGGCGGUUCUCGAGCUCUCGCCGAGCGGACCGGUGAGGUGGCCGGGUCUCCAGGAGCAGCGUGUCCCGGUUCCGCGCCAGCCCCGGCUGGCAAGAGGCAGCCGGUGUCCCCGGAGGAGAAGCCCAACCCGCUGCAGGACGCGAACCUCUGCUCGCGCGCGUUUGUCUGGUGGUCCUGCCCAGGAGUCCUCUGGUCCUGAAACUGACAGGUCCCUAAGCUGGGAAGAAGCUUACAGGUGGAAAAUGGCUUGGAAAGACACUCAUUUCCAGUUUUCCUGCUGGAGGGGAAGGAGCUGCUGCUGCUGCUACUACUACUACUACUAA